rnacentral:tRNA from 1 species
GGAUUUUUCAGGUGGUUCAGUGGUAGAAUGCUCGCCUGCCAUGCGGGCGGCCGGGUUCGAUUCCCGGCCGAUGCA